rnacentral:misc_RNA from 1 species
GAUGAAGAACGUAGCGAAAUGCGAUACGUAAUGUGAAUUGCAGAAUUCAGUGAAUCAUCGAAUCUUUGAACGCACAUUGCGCCUGCCAGCACUCUGGCAGGCAUGCCUGUUCGAGCGUCAUUUCAACCAUCAAGCCCUAGGCUUGCGUUGGAGCCCUGCGGCUGCCGCAGGCCCCUAAAAGCAGUGGCGGGCUCGCUAUCACACCGAGUGCAGUAGAUUACUCUUCGCUCAGGGCGUGUGGCGGGUUCCAGCCGUGAAACCCCCUACUUCUCAAGGUUGACCUCGGAUCAGGUAGGAAUACCCGCUGAACUUAAACAUAUCAAUAAGCGGAGGA